GGCUCCGUGGCGCAAUGGAUAGCGCAUUGGACUUCUAAUUCAAAGGUUGUGGGUUCGAGUCCCACCGAGAGUCG